rnacentral:rRNA from 1 species
CCUACGGGAGACAGCAGUGAGGAAUAUUGGUCAAUGGACGAGAGUCUGAACCAGCCAAGUAGCGUGAAGGAUGACUGCCCUAUGGGUUGUAAACUUCUUUUAUAUGGGAAUAAAAUGUUCCACGUGUGGCAUUUUGUAUGUACCAUAUGAAUAAGGAUCGGCUAACUCCGUGCCAGCAGCCGCGGUAAUACGGAGGAUCCGAGCGUUAUCCGGAUUUAUUGGGUUUAAAGGGAGCGUAGGUGGAUUGUUAAGUCAGUUGUGAAAGUUUGCGGCUCAACCGUAAAAUUGCAGUUGAAACUGGCAGUCUUGAGUACAGUAGAGGUAGGCGGAAUUCGGGGUGUAGCGGUGAAAUGCUUAGAUAUCACGAAGAACUCCGAUUGCGAAGGCAGCUCACUAAACUGCAACUGACACUGAGGCUCGAAAGUGUGGGUAUCAAACAGGAUUAGAUACCCCAGUAGUC